AGAGUUUGAUCCUGGCUCAGAUUGAACGCUGGCGGCAGGCCUAACACAUGCAAGUCGAGCGGAUGAAGGGAGCUUGCUCCCUGAUUUAGCGGCGGACGGGUGAGUAAUGCCUAGGAAUCUGCCUGGUAGUGGGGGAUAACGUUCCGAAAGGAACGCUAAUACCGCAUACGUCCUACGGGAGAAAGCAGGGGACCUUCGGGCCUUGCGCUAUCAGAUGAGCCUAGGUCGGAUUAGCUAGUUGGUGAGGUAAUGGCUCACCAAGGCGACAAUCCGUAACUGGUCUGAGAGGAUGAUCAGUCACACUGGAACUGAGACACGGUCCAGACUCCUACGGGAGGCAGCAGUGGGGAAUAUUGGACAAUGGGCGAAAGCCUGAUCCAGCCAUGCCGCGUGUGUGAAGAAGGUCUUCGGAUUGUAAAGCACUUUAAGUUGGGAGGAAGGGCAUUAACCUAAUACGUUAGUGUUUUGACGUUACCGACAGAAUAAGCACCGGCUAACUUCGUGCCAGCAGCCGCGGCAAUACGAAGGGUGCAAGCGUUAAUCGGAAUUACUGGGCGUAAAGCGCGCGUAGGUGGUUCGUUAAGUUGGAUGUGAAAGCCCCGGGCUCAACCUAGGAACUGCAUCCAAAACUGGCGAGCUAGAGUACGGUAGAGGGUGGUGGAAUUUCCUGUGUAGCGGUGAAAUGCGUAG
rnacentral:rRNA from 1 species